rnacentral:rRNA from 1 species
GACGUAGGGUGCAAGCGUUGUCCGGAAUUAUUGGGCGUAAAGAGUUCGUAGGCGGUUACUUAAGUCUGGUGUUAAAGCCCGAUGCUCAACGUCGGCAUGGCAUUGGAAACUGGGUAGCUAGAGUGUGUCAGAGGUUACGGGAAUUCCUGGUGUAGCGGUGAAAUGCGUAGAUAUCAGGAGGAACACCGGUGGCGAAGGCGGGACUCUGGGCCGAUACUGACGCUGAGGAGCGAAAGCGUGGGGAGCGAACAGG